UUUGUAGGCAGAAAUGUAAGUCAAGUGUGAAAUCCCCGAGCUAAACUUGGGACGUGCAUUUGAAACUGUGUUUCUUGAGUAUCGUAGAGGGUGGUGGAAUUGCAGGUGUAGGAGUGACAUCCGUAGAGAUCUGCAGGAACAUCGGAGGCGAAGGCGACCACCUGGCCGAUUACUGACGCUGAGGAACGAAAGCGUGGGGAGCAAACAGGAUUAGAUACCCUGGUAGUCCACGCCGUAAACGAUGAUAACUAGGUGUUGGGAGAAUUGACCCUUUCAGUACCGAAGCACACGCGCUAAGUUAUCCGCCUGGGGAGUACGGCCGCAAGGCUAAA
rnacentral:rRNA from 1 species